GCAUAUUGACAGAUAAUACAUAUUAAAAUAUGAUUGUGAUGUGCUUAGUGCUUUGUGUUCGCGGGUCCUAUAUGCCAGCCCGGACUGACAAUUGCCUGAGUAUAAACAUGGGACAGUUGAACAGUGACGCACGGUUUUUUUCAGGAAGCAUGUUUCAGGUGUUUUUUGUUUUUUAAAGAGUGAACAAUUGUAUUUUUGAUCCAGUGUUCCCUGACAUUCAGUUGUGGGAUCCCGGUGCUUUUGGACAGGAAAACUUGUGGCCAAGGCUCAUGGGUUGCUCUGCUGCCCCCAAGUGGUGUGGGAACCUGGGAGAAUCUCCCUAUCUCCAUGAACCACAGUGUCUUCAUCAGGAAGAUAAAGUCCUUCCAAUACUCGAAAUUCCUCUCCUGCUGAGUUUUUUGUUUUUUUUUUUCUUUCCCUGCAUGCCUGUGGGUCCGAGAUGCAUGUUGCAUGUGCCCUGGGAACUGCAGCCAAGUCUUGACUUUGGUCCCUUGUCUGUGUUUUUCCUGCAGGAGCCUGAACUGAGUCCACACACUGAACUCACAGACCUGCAGGAGGAGAUGGAAGAAAGAAAACCAGCAGGUUUUGAGGAUGAGAAGAACCCAAGUAAUAGCAGAGGAGGUGCUGUGCAGGAGAGAUUGCUGCAGUGGCAUCCAGGACUGUCAGUGGAAGUGGGGAAUGACAUGACACCACCUUUCGGACACCCAACUGGCAAGAGGCCACGCAGUCCAAGAAUUGGUCGCAGACUUGAAGAAACUCUUCCAGAACAAGAUACAUAAAUGGGCCACAAGAACAUAAAAAGAUAAUCAACUCAGUGUCAGUGAUCAGAGAAACAAAUUAAAACUACAGUGAGUUCCGAUUAUAUAUUCAUUACCAUGGUUAAAUUUAAAGAGAUUGAAAAUACCACAUGUGGUAAAGGUGUAAAGCCACCAGAUGUUUCUUACACUUGGGGGAAUGAGUAGUCAUUCAGGCACUUUGAAAAGCUGAAUGACAGUUGAGCACACACCCAUCAUGUGAGCAGCCUUUCCAUUCCUAGGUGUUUACAGAGUAUGUCCCCAUAACAACCUGCACAUGAAUAUCCAUAGUGAGUUUCUUCAAAAGAACUGAACUCUGGAAACUACAGGGACAUCCAUUAGUUGGUGAAUGUAUGAACUGACACAAAGUAUCGAUAUAAAGGAAUAGUGCUUAGCAAAAAAAUGUGCAAGCGCUGCUGUUGCUUGUAAGAUGGUGGAGAUUCUCUGAAUCAAGCUGCAUGGAGGCAGGCAGACAGGAAAGAGUCCAUGCGUAGUUCCAUUUAUAAGGGUGCUAAAGAUGCAAAUUCAUCUCUAAUGGCAGUGGUUGCCUGGGGCUGAGGGUUGAGGGAGUGAAGGAAAGCAAAGGGGUCCAAAGGUUGUGAGGACAUGGACACACCGUGUAUCAGAUGGUAGCUGUAGUUUUCAUAGUGUAACCAGCUAUCAAAGUGCACUUGAUUGUAUACUCUAAAGUGACAUAGUGUGUUGUGUCUGAAUUAUACCUCAAGAGAAUUCAUAUAACAGUGUAUUGUAUUCCUCCAGAAUAUAGGAAUGUUCACUAAAUAGCAGUGAAUAUUUAGCAAAUGAAAUUCAAUAGAACACACUGGAGAUUCCCAUCCUUAAUCAUUAAACAUUUAAGAACAUAUGCACUGAAGACUCCUGAAAACUCUUGCCGAGGACAUUAAAGAGCUAAAUAGGAGGUCCUGCCAUGGCCCAGUGUGUUAAGACUCUGACCGCAGUGGCCAGGUUGCUGCGGAGCUUCAGGGUCAAUGCCAGCCUGGCUGCAGUGGGUUAAAGGAUCUGGCACUGGCACAGCUGCACCUUGAAGUCAAUCCCUGGCCCACAAACAGCCCUAUGGCAUGGGUGUGGCCAUUAAAUUUAAGAAGACCUAAAUAAAUAUAUAUAAUAUACAUAUCA
rnacentral:lncRNA from 1 species